CUCAGGGCACCGUAUGGGGAGCACAUGGAGCUUAUAGGGAGCAUAUGGAGCCUAUAGGGGGCACAAGGCACCAUAGGGGGGCACGCAGAGCCUAUAGGGGAACACGCGGAGCCUAUAGGGGGCUCAGGGCACUGGACAGGGAUCACACGGACACUAUAAGAAGCGUGUGGCACCCCUACAGAGAGUGCACAGGCACAUAUGGAGAGCACACGGACACCAUCAUGGGGCACAUGGACCCCUAUAGAGAGAGCAAGACCCCCUAUAGGGCGUUCACAAACCCCUAUAGGGAGCACAUAAACCCUAUAGAGAGAACGCAGCCCCCGUAUAGGGAGCACCUGGGUACCUGUAGAGAACAUGUGAGCCCACGGGGACCCUUAUAGGGAGAACAUAGAUCCCAUGGGGUGCACCUGGACCCCUAUAGAGGGUAAAGACCCUAUAAGGAGCAUGCGGAUCCUUAUAGGGAACACACGGACUCCUAUAGAGAACAAAGACCCUAUAAGAAGCAUGUGGACCCCUAUAGGGAGCAUAAGGACCCCUGUAGAGAGCACGCAAACACCUCCAGUGUGCACAUGGACAGCCAUAGGGGGCACACAGACCCCUAUAGGGGGCACACAGACCCCUAUAAGUGCCCAGGGACCCCUAUAAGUGCCCAGACCAGACCCCAUGGGCUCCAUACGGGGCGUGCAGGCCCAUACAGGCACUGACGGAGCCCUGUGCAGAGGACCCGGCCCCCCCCUCAGAGCACGGGGCACCCCCAUGGGGACACCCCUAUAGGAACAGCCCUAUAGGGGGCGCGCAGACCCCUAUAGAGCCCAUAGGGCGACCCCGGAACGCCCGGAGCGGCGCAGGAGGGGCACCCGGACCGCUAUAGGGCACGGACCGACCCCUUGCGCCCCACGUGACCCCCCCGCUAGGCUGCAGGAGCGCGAGGCCACUUCCGGUUCUCGGCUUCCGGCUUCCGUCGCCGCGGCGGGGCUGGGCGGAAGCGGCGGCCAUGGCGGCGGCGGCGGGGCCGGGGGCGCCGCGGACCAAGACGAAGAAGAAGCAGAAGCGGUUCGUGCCGCAGCGCGUCAAGGUGCCGCGGGCCGCCGACCCGCUGCUCGCCGUGCUGGCCUGGGGCGUCAACCACCAGAUCAACGAGCUCAGCCAGGUCCCGCCGCCCGUCAUGCUGCUGCCCGACGACUUCAAGGCCAGCUCCAAAAUCAAGGUCAACAACCACCUCUUCAACCGGUGAGCGGCACCGGGGGGCGGGGGGGGGGACUGGAAACCACCGCGGGGGGAACCGGAGACCCCUGGGAGGCGACCGGGACCCCCCGGGAGGCGACCGGGACCCCCUGGGAGGUGCCCGGCCCCCUCCGGCGGGUGCCCUGAGACCCCAGGACCCCCCCAGAGGUGACCGGACCCCCCCGGAGGUUACUGGACCCCCCUGGGAGGCACCCAGAGACUCCCAGGAGGCACCCGGACCCCCCCCAGACCCCCCGGGAGGCACCCGCAGCCCCCCGGGGAGGUGCCCAGACCCCCCUGGGAGGUUACCGGAGCCCCCCCGGGAGGUAACGGGGGGGUUGCUGACGUUACCCGGUGUCCCCCCGCCCCCAGGGAAAACCUC
ensembl:lncRNA